ACGAGGUGACCUGGAAAUUUAGUUGGUGUUUGUUCUAGCUAUUUGCUUUCCACUGAAGUAACUGUUAGACUGUAGUGUGACAUCCUAAAUAUUAGCUCCACUGUCAACUCCAACCCUGAUUCUCACACUCACAAUUUUAUUGUUGGAAUUCUAAUUGUGCUUUAGGGUUCUAUGUGAAGAUACAGAAAAAUAUUGCAUUCCUAUUCUGGUCCCGUAUUGAAAUUGCAAGUGGUCCCUCUGAAUUUUGACCCAAUUGUUAUAAAUUUCAGAUGAACUGAAUAAAACUACUACUUGCAGGCAAACAAUAAAAUUGUACGGGCAUUUGGAGAGAAGAGAGUAGAGGAUAAUUUGAAGAACCAUGUGGACCUUUGCAGGAUGCUUGAUAUUGUCGCAUUGGAAAAGGACAUCUUAUGAUCAAGGGGACAAAUGAGAUCAUGCCAACUCUACUCCAUGUACUGCUGGUGUCACAGGAUGGGAGAGUGUCGGAUGCUUCUUCAUAUACUAUUUCUUGGUCCGUCAAAUCUGCUUGACCCAAAUGCAAGUUUUGCUCAAAUGUGGCAAAAAUAAUUGUCUCACCAAUUGUCAGCGCGCCUGCUUCCAGCAAAGUUUCAGAGAAGGAAAAGAUGGAAUGUAACUCAAAUUUUGCUGGCCGCACAAGUGUGGAGACUUGAAUUCAUAUAUACUUAGUUAGGCUCAAUAUUAGUGCAAACAGUUGAUAACCAAGUUUUUCAAUUAGUAUUUAGUUUUGGCUUUACAGUACACUUAUGUAUGAGUUAUUUGACAAUAUUUAUUUAUGAGAUAUUGAAUGGUACUUAUCUAUAU